AUUAAUUUUAAAUAAACAAUUGAGUGUGAAGUCACUGCACAUUUCCUGGUGUUUUUUUGGUACCUGAAAGAGAGUUUUUUUAGUUAAAUUGUGCACCUUUUCCACUAGGCCAGAACGUUUGUACAUUUAGAAGACAUAAGUUACGUCAAUUUAAUGGCAGAUGUGCUCCGCUAAUUAUGUGGGCCGGUCUGAGCCAAAAAAUGCCCGGGCCGUUUUGUUCUCCCAGUCCAGCCCUGCAUCGGAUGAAUAAUACGUUUUGAAGUUCAGCUUGUUCUUCUGGCAGAGAGGCUAAAGACGUGUGAGCUCCCGUUUCUGAGGGAUGGACGAGCCUGAAGGACACAGCUGUGCUGACCGUUUUCUCUCUUAUGGUAAAGAAGAAAAAUAAAACACUGGGUUCUUAUCUAAAGUGUAUCAAAUCAAGAAGCAAAAGAUAAACAUUGUUCUAAUAAGUGUUCAUUUGAAUAUAUAAUAUAUAAUGAAAAUAGAAAUAAACUCUUAUCCAUGACACUUAGCAAUGACUGCCAACUCUAAACAGUUGCAGGCCUUCUUUAGUUGGGGAGGAAAACACAAAGUGUUGUGCAGAUGAAGCUGGUGCAUGUCGCCUCAUGUUGAUAAUAAUAAAUUAUGCAAGUUAUUUGA